rnacentral:rRNA from 1 species
AUUGAACGCUGGCGGCAUGCCUUACACAUGCAAGUUGAACGGCAGCAUGGAGAGCUUGCUCUCUGAUGGCGAGUGGCGAACGGGUGAGUAAUGCAUCGGAACGUACCGUGCAAUGGGGGAUAACGUAGCGAAAGUUACGCUAAUACCGCAUACGACCUGAGGGUGAAAGCAGGGGAUCGCAAGACCUUGCGUUAUACGAGCGGCCGAUGUCAGAUUAGCUAGUUGGUGAGGUAAAGGCUCACCAAGGCGACGAUCUGUAGCGGGUCUGAGAGGAUGAUCCGCCACACUGGGACUGAGACACGGCCCAGACUCCUACGGGAGGCAGCAGUGGGGAAUUUUGGACAAUGGGGGCAACCCUGAUCCAGCCAUGCCGCGUGAGUGAAGAAGGCCUUCGGGUUGUAAAGCUCUUUCGGCCGGGAAGAAAUCGCACAGGCUAAUACUCUGUGUGGAUGACGGUACCGGCAUAAGAAGCACCGGCUAACUACGUGCCAGCCGCCGCAGUAA